ACCUGGGCAGAUCCGUUCUUUCUGGCUGAGACAGGGAGGCUGGGCAGGAGAGAAGGGGGUAAGGGUCCCUUCCGGCUGGGUUUGGGGCAGGUGGCAGGUCCAGGACCCCCUCUGGUCUUCAGGAUGGAAGGCUGGGUCUGACUCCCACUCUCCUCAUUUACUUCCUGGUUCACACUGCUCUGAUUGGCUGUGGCCCAGGGCUGAGCCGUGACGGCGACCACCGAGAUAGUGACCAUUUUCUGGGGGCGUGAGGGAGCAGUCUUGGUGGGGAUCAGAGAACCGUUUCCGGUCAGCCAUAGUAGUGUGACAGGUGUUGUUGUACAGGGUCAGCCAUAGUAGUGUGACAGGUGUUGUUGUACAGGGUCAGCCAUAGUAGUGUGACAGGUGUUGUUGUACAGGGUCAGCCAUAGUGGUAUGGUAGGUGUUGUUGUACAGGGUCAGCCAUAGUGGUAUGGUAGGUGUUGUUGUACAGGGUCAGCCAUAGUGGUAUGGUAGGUGUUGUUGUACAGGGUCAGCCAUAGUGGUAUGGUAGGUGUUGUUGUACAGGGUCAGCCAUAGUGGUAUGGUAGGUGUUAUAGGGUGCUGGUCCAAUGCUCUAACCACUAGGCUACCUGCCGCCCUAUAUAGGGAAUAGGGUGCUGGCCCAACGCCCUAACCACUAGGCUACCUGCCGCCCUAUAUAGGGAAUAGGGUGCUGGCCCAGCGCCCUAACAACUUGGCUACCUGCCGCCCUAUAUAGGAACUAGGGUGCCAUUGGGCCUCAGGCUGGGCACAGUGAGCCAGCCAGCAGCCUCCUGUUAUACUACUGCAUUAUUCAUAUGAGAUGGAAGAGGAUCAGGAAGCACACGGUAACAAGACUACACACACCUCUCCCUCCACAUACUACAAGUACAAACCACACAAUUCUCCCUCCACAUACUACCAGGGAGAACUACAAGUACCAAUCACACCUUGAAGGGAGGCAGUAGUAUUUAGAUAGACAGCGAACACGUGAGCAUCCAAUCACAAGAGAUGUACUAUACAACUGUUGCACAUCCUACAGAAGAACUAAAUACACACACACAGACACAGAGGGACACACACACACACACACACAGACACAGAGGGACACACACACACACACACAGACACAGAGGGACACACACACACACACACACAGACACAGAGGGACACACACACACACACAGACAGAGGGACACACACACACACAGACACAGAGGGACACACACACACACAGACACAGAGGGACACACACACACACACAGACAGAGGGACACACACACACACACACAGACAGAGGGACACACACACACACAGACAGAGGGACACACACACACAGACAGAGGGACACACACACACACAGACAGAGGGACACACACACACAGACAGAGGGACACACACACACACAGACAGAGGGACACACACACACAGACAGAGGGACACACACACACACAGACAGAGGGACACACACACACACAGACAGAGGGACACACACACACACAGAGACAGAGGGACACACACACACACAGACAGAGGGACACACACACACACAGACAGAGGGACACACACACACACACAGACAGAGGGACACACACACACACAGACAGAGUGACACACACACACACAGACAGAGGGACACACACACACACAGACAGAGGGACACACACACACACAGACAGAGGGACACACACACACACACAGACAGAGGGACACACACACACACAGACAGAGGGACACACACACACACAGACAGAGGGACACACACACACACAGACAGAGGGACACACACACACA
rnacentral:lncRNA from 1 species